UACGUAGGGUGCAAGCGUUAAUCGGAAUUACUGGGCGUAAAGCGUGCGCAGGCGGUGAUGUAAGACAGGUGUGAAAUCCCCGGGCUUAACCUGGGAACUGCAUUUGUGACUGCAUUGCUGGAGUGCGGCAGAGGGGGAUGGAAUUCCGCGUGUAGCAGUGAAAUGCGUAGAUAUGCGGAGGAACACCGAUGGCGAAGGCAGCCCCCCUGGGUCGACACUGACGCUCAGGCACGAAAGCGUGGGGAGCAAACAGG
rnacentral:rRNA from 1 species